rnacentral:tRNA from 1 species
CUUUUAUAGGAUAGAAGUAAUCCGUUGGUCUUAGGAACCAAAAAAUUGGUGCAAC